AGUGGGAUAGCUGGGUCAAAUGGUUGUUCCAUUCCCAGUUUUCUGAGGAAUCUCCACACUGCUUUCCAUAGUGGUUGUGCCAAUUUACAGUCCCACCAGCAAU
rnacentral:pre_miRNA from 1 species